rnacentral:tRNA from 1 species
GCGGAUGUGGUGGAACUGGUAGACACGCUAUCUUGAGGGGGUAGUGCCGCAAGGCGUGAGAGUUCGAGUCUCUCCAUCCGCACCA